CUGUGUAUUUUGUUUUCUAUUGGUAAAAAUCUGUUAUUUUCCUAUAUUUACUUCACUGAUUAUGUAGAUGUUCAUUAAAGGUCAGAUUAAAAUUAAGGGUUAUUAAAUCCAGAAUGGAGAAAACCAAAGAAAAAGAUAACAUUUUUCUGCAAAAAAUAUCAUUAACU